rnacentral:lncRNA from 1 species
AUGUUUAGUGGUCCAUUGAUUAAACUUGCUGUUGCUGACCCCAACAUUCGAAGUUCGAGUCCUGCAUCAAUUUGUGCACAGGAAGUGUUUGAUUAAUCUUCUCUUGGAAGUUUCUGGUAAAAAAUUACUUUUUUUAGUUCAUAAAUACAACAUAAAACUUAAGUUCUGUACCAACAAAGUUAUAAUUUUUGGAGGAUAUUAUCAUAAAGCUUUAUGUAUUUGUCAAUCUUUCUUUGAAAGCUUCUGUGUGCCUGAAUUUUGAAGUUAAGUGUGAGCCAUUUGAUGUGCUUACCAAUUGUUUAAUUAUUUUUCUCAUGGAAAUUUCUGGUAAAAAAUGCUUUUCAAGUUCAUAAAAGCAACAUCCAAGUUGAAAUUGAUUGAAUACUUGAAAUAUUGAUUUGAUAGUUUGAUUGUAUACUUAUAAUUUUGGUUUGAAAUUGGUUUUACUUCAGCACUUCGCAGGUUAGGCUUCAAAUUUUUGGUAUGACAUAAGCACUUCACACAAAACAAGCCCCUCUAGGUACUUACUAGUCUGUCCCACAAUUGGUUUGAAAUUGAUAUAUGAGUAUGUUAUGUAUAUUAGAAUGAUUAUUGGGUUUGGUUGUUGAAAUUUAUUGAAUAUUCAAAAUUGAAUAGUUGAAUCUCAUGUAUUAGAUUAAAUAAUAUGAAUAUGAAUU